UUGAAAGUAUAUAUAACAACUUUGCCUUGUAAAGCCUAGUUAUGUCAAGGGAGGUAUGGUUUGCAAUCUCAUAUUUACCUCUCUAAAAACGAAAUUCUAAAUAACAGCUAACAACUUAACCCUUAAGAUGGUGAUAAAGUAGGCGGGGUUGUGUAAGAGUCUUCAGUCUUUGCUUUUCACGGGGAUUCACAACUUGUUUGAAAAUUUUGUUUUCUUUUGCACGUUUUUGUUUUCUCUGCCCCUCAAUCAUUGUAUCUGUGCUACUUGUUUGUAUGAAUUAUUAAUAAAAUUUCAGAGAAUCUAAACUCGCAGAGACAAAUAUGCUAGAAAAGAAUUGAAUGUACUAGAAUCGUUGGGUCACCUUGUUCUGGACAAAAUGUUCCCAUGGGAAAAUUUUUGUCAGUUCGAAUAGACAAAACAGUAGUAUGAAUGAUUCAAGCAUAAACAGAAGC
rnacentral:lncRNA from 1 species